rnacentral:lncRNA from 1 species
GUGUGUGCUCACUGGUGGACAUAACACCAUUGAUUAAGUUUGUUUUGUUUAACGCUUCAUUAAUAAAGUUAAGCCUGACCACCCGUAACAUCGUCAGAUCGUGGUCUGCCGUAAGCCCAACUAGAAAAAGAUCCUGUAACAAGUAUAGCAAAGAUGCACUUUGACCUCUGAUUCCUGAUUCUGCCUCUGGUGACAAUUUGUAUUGUUUUUUGAAGAAGUUGACUUUUGGUGGGGAUUUCUACAUUGACUGUUCCACCAUCUUGUUUGUGUUCAACCCAGAGGGAAGGACUAUGGAAGAGCAGGUGCAUGGUGGCUUCAUUCUGAUCCAACUACUGUGUCUGGAAAUACUGUGUUUGUGAAUGGACUUUUAGCACUGAUCCUCAUUAUCAAAGAGGUACUCUGCUGUGUGUUUGUGAAAUAUAUGGUGGGUGGAUAACAUUCUGUUCAGACUGGCUUGUUGUCAGUCCUAACUUAAUUGGCUUUAUUUUGGGGUAUUUUUAAAUGGCAUCUGGGUUGUGAUACCAGGACUCUGACUGUGCCAAUAUUGGUUAGCACUUAAGAAAAUGCAUCCAGAAAAAUCAAAUCUCAGAAAGAAGAUUAAAUGAAGAUGACCCCACUUCACUGACCCCAUUAAUCCUGAGAUUUGUAUAAAGUAUUUGUAGCCAGGAUUUUUUCCUUAAGCAGAGAUGGAGUCAACUAUUGGAUGCUUUUUGUUCAUUUUGCAUUGUGAAUCUUUAUUGUGUGAUUCAUUUAAAGCUUGUAUUUUAAACAGACUCAAAUAACAAGUAUAUAAAUCUCAAAUGAUUACAACAUCGCACAAGAAAAACAAUGUACUUUACAAAUAAACUACUGUGCAGCUUUUU